rnacentral:rRNA from 2 species
GGGUUGUGAGGUUAAGCGACUAAGCGUACACGGUGGAUGCCCUGGCAGUCAGAGGCGAUGAAGGACGUGCUAAUCUGCGAUAAGCGUCGGUAAGGUGAUAUGAACCGUUAUAACCGGCGAUUUCCGAAUGGGGAAACCCAGUGUGAUUCGUCACACUAUCAUUAACUGAAUCCAUAGGUUAAUGAGGCGAACCGGGGGAACUGAAACAUCUAAGUACCCCGAGGAAAAGAAAUCAACCGAGAUUCCCCCAGUAGCGGCGAGCGAACGGGGAGCAGCCCAGAGCCUGAAUCAGUGUGUGUGUUAGUGGAAGCGUCUGGAAAGGCGCGCGAUACAGGGUGACAGCCCCGUACACAAAAAUGCACAUGCUGUGAGCUCGAUGAGUAGGGCGGGACACGUGGUAUCCUGUCUGAAUAUGGGGGGACCAUCCUCCAAGGCUAAAUACUCCUGACUGACCGAUAGUGAACCAGUACCGUGAGGGAAAGGCGAAAAGAACCCCGGCGAGGGGAGUGAAAAAGAACCUGAAACCGUGUACGUACAAGCAGUGGGAGCACGCUUCGGCGUGUGACUGCGUACCUUUUGUAUAAUGGGUCAGCGACUUAUAUUCUGUAGCAAGGUUAACCGAAUAGGGGAGCCGAAGGGAAACCGAGUCUUAACUGGGCGUUAAGUUGCAGGGUAUAGACCCGAAACCCGGUGAUCUAGCCAUGGGCAGGUUGAAGGUUGGGUAACACUAACUGGAGGACCGAACCGACUAAUGUUGAAAAAUUAGCGGAUGACUUGUGGCUGGGGGUGAAAGGCCAAUCAAACCGGGAGAUAGCUGGUUCUCCCCGAAAGCUAUUUAGGUAGCGCCUCGUGAAUUCAUCUCCGGGGGUAGAGCACUGUUUCGGCAAGGGGGUCAUCCCGACUUACCAACCCGAUGCAAACUGCGAAUACCGGAGAAUGUUAUCACGGGAGACACACGGCGGGUGCUAACGUCCGUCGUGAAGAGGGAAACAACCCAGACCGCCAGCUAAGGUCCCAAAGUCAUGGUUAAGUGGGAAACGAUGUGGGAAGGCCCAGACAGCCAGGAUGUUGGCUUAGAAGCAGCCAUCAUUUAAAGAAAGCGUAAUAGCUCACUGGUCGAGUCGGCCUGCGCGGAAGAUGUAACGGGGCUAAACCAUGCACCGAAGCUGCGGCAGCGACGCUGAUGCGUUGUUGGGUAGGGGAGCGUUCUGUAAGCCUGUGAAGGUGUGCUGUGAGGCAUGCUGGAGGUAUCAGAAGUGCGAAUGCUGACAUAAGUAACGAUAAAGCGGGUGAAAAGCCCGCUCGCCGGAAGACCAAGGGUUCCUGUCCAACGUUAAUCGGGGCAGGGUGAGUCGACCCCUAAGGCGAGGCCGAAAGGCGUAGUCGAUGGGAAACAGGUUAAUAUUCCUGUACUUGGUGUUACUGCGAAGGGGGGACGGAGAAGGCUAUGUUGGCCGGGCGACGGUUGUCCCGGUUUAAGCGUGUAGGCUGGUUUUCCAGGCAAAUCCGGAAAAUCAAGGCUGAGGCGUGAUGACGAGGCACUACGGUGCUGAAGCAACAAAUGCCCUGCUUCCAGGAAAAGCCUCUAAGCAUCAGGUAACAUCAAAUCGUACCCCAAACCGACACAGGUGGUCAGGUAGAGAAUACCAAGGCGCUUGAGAGAACUCGGGUGAAGGAACUAGGCAAAAUGGUGCCGUAACUUCGGGAGAAGGCACGCUGAUAUGUAGGUGAAGUCCCUCGCGGAUGGAGCUGAAAUCAGUCGAAGAUACCAGCUGGCUGCAACUGUUUAUUAAAAACACAGCACUGUGCAAACACGAAAGUGGACGUAUACGGUGUGACGCCUGCCCGGUGCCGGAAGGUUAAUUGAUGGGGUCAGCGCAAGCGAAGCUCUUGAUCGAAGCCCCGGUAAACGGCGGCCGUAACUAUAACGGUCCUAAGGUAGCGAAAUUCCUUGUCGGGUAAGUUCCGACCUGCACGAAUGGCGUAAUGAUGGCCAGGCUGUCUCCACCCGAGACUCAGUGAAAUUGAACUCGCUGUGAAGAUGCAGUGUACCCGCGGCAAGACGGAAAGACCCCGUGAACCUUUACUAUAGCUUGACACUGAACAUUGAGCCUUGAUGUGUAGGAUAGGUGGGAGGCUUUGAAGUGUGGACGCCAGUCUGCAUGGAGCCGACCUUGAAAUACCACCCUUUAAUGUUUGAUGUUCUAACGUUGACCCGUAAUCCGGGUUGCGGACAGUGUCUGGUGGGUAGUUUGACUGGGGCGGUCUCCUCCUAAAGAGUAACGGAGGAGCACGAAGGUUGGCUAAUCCUGGUCGGACAUCAGGAGGUUAGUGCAAUGGCAUAAGCCAGCUUGACUGCGAGCGUGACGGCGCGAGCAGGUGCGAAAGCAGGUCAUAGUGAUCCGGUGGUUCUGAAUGGAAGGGCCAUCGCUCAACGGAUAAAAGGUACUCCGGGGAUAACAGGCUGAUACCGCCCAAGAGUUCAUAUCGACGGCGGUGUUUGGCACCUCGAUGUCGGCUCAUCACAUCCUGGGGCUGAAGUAGGUCCCAAGGGUAUGGCUGUUCGCCAUUUAAAGUGGUACGCGAGCUGGGUUUAGAACGUCGUGAGACAGUUCGGUCCCUAUCUGCCGUGGGCGCUGGAGAACUGAGGGGGGCUGCUCCUAGUACGAGAGGACCGGAGUGGACGCAUCACUGGUGUUCGGGUUGUCAUGCCAAUGGCACUGCCCGGUAGCUAAAUGCGGAAGAGAUAAGUGCUGAAAGCAUCUAAGCACGAAACUUGCCCCGAGAUGAGUUCUCCCUGACUCCUUGAGAGUCCUGAAGGAACGUUGAAGACGACGACGUUGAUAGGCCGGGUGUGUAAGCGCAGCGAUGCGUUGAGCUAACCGGUACUAAUGAACCGUGAGGCUUAACCUUACAACGCCGAAG